AUUGAACGCUAGCGGAAUGCCUAACACAUGCAAGUCGAACGAGUGGCGGAAGGGUGAGUAAGGUCUGGGAAACUGCCUGAUGGAGGGGGAUAACUACUGGAAACUGUAGCUAAUACCGCAUAGCGUCACAGAUUCCCGAAUGGGAUUGGCUUGUUGGUGGGGUAACGGCUCACCAAGGCGACGAUCCCUUGCUGGUCUGAGAGGAUGACCAGCAACACUGGAACUGAGAAACGGUCCAGACUCCUACGGGAGGCAGCAGUGGGGAAUAUUGCACAAUGGGCGCAAGCCUGAUGCAGCCAUGCCGCGUGUAUGAAGAAGGCCUUCGGGUUGUAAAGUACUUUCAGCAGGGAGGCGGUACCCGCAGAAGAAGCACCGGCUAACUCCGUGCCAGCAGCCGCGGUAAUAC
rnacentral:rRNA from 1 species